rnacentral:rRNA from 1 species
GAUGAACGCUGACAGAAUGCUUAACACAUGCAAGUCGAUUCGAUUUACCUUCGGGUAUUGAGGAUGGCGGACGGGUGAGUAACGCGUAAGGAACUUGCCUCUUGGUCUGGGACAACUGUUGGAAACGACAGCUAAUACCGGAUAUUAUGAGAUUCUCGCAUGGGAAACUUAUGAAAGCUAUAUGCGCCAAGAGAGAGCCUUGCGUUCCAUUAGCUAGUUGGUGGGGUAACGGCCCACCAAGGCGACGAUGGAUAGCCGGCCUGAGAGGGUGAACGGCCACAAGGGGACUGAGACACGGCCCUUACUCCUACGGGAGGCAGCAGUGGGGAAUAUUGGACAAUGGGCCACAAGCCUGAUCCAGCAAUUCUGUGUGCACGAUGAAGGUCUUCGGAUUGUAAAGUGCUUUCAGUUGGGAAGAAGAAAGUGACGGUACCAACAGAAGAAGCGACGGCUAAAUACGUGCCAGCAGCCGCGGUAAUACGUAUGUCGCAAGCGUUAUCCGGAUUUAUUGGGCGUAAAGCGCGUCUAGGCGGAAAAAUAAGUCUGAUGUUAAAAUGCGGGGCUCAACUCCGUAUUGCGUUGGAAACUGUUUUUCUAGAGUACUGGAGAGGUGGGCGGAACUACAAGUGUAGAGGUGAAAUUCGUAGAUAUUUGUAGGAAUGNC